AUGCAAAAAGGUUCCACCAAAAUGCAAAAUUUAAACAUGACAAGAACAGUACAGAAAGGCAAGUACUUGUUUAGAAGAGACAAAAAGUGGAAGGACCUGGCUGCAAAGAGAAGGGCAGAAGCCACAACCAGUCAACCACACAGGCAGAAGGCCCGGGGCGUAACUGCAAAACAGGGAACAAUGCCCACAAGAAGAUGGCCAAGGGGCGUAUCUGCAAAAUGCGCAGGGACCGCCGCGCAAAAUCUCGAAAAAAUUUGGACCAUUUCUCGAUUUGUGCGUGUCAUCCUUGCGCAGGGGCCAUGCUAA
rnacentral:rRNA from 1 species